UGCAAACUCAUAACACAAAAACACCAAACUCAGAAACCCAACCCUAGAAAGAGAACCUCAAACGGAGAACGAAUUUCAAAGAACAAAGCCCAUAACGAGAAAAGUCACGAACGAGAAAUCUUAACUCCGAACAUAGAAAUCCUAGAUUUAACUAUUACUGCUUGUGAGAAAUCCCAUAUCGAAUAACCCAAAAUCCCAAAUCGAAAGAUUGCAGUUCCGACAAUAACGAAACCCAAAAUUCCAAAUCCAAUUGCGAGAAAUGCCAGAACGAAAUAUGAAGUCACAUAUCUAACGAUUGCAGCUUGCGAGAAAUCACAAAAGGAAGUCCGAAAUCCCAGAUUGAACGAUUGCACCUUGCGAGUCUUGAAUGAACGAGAGCAAAUAUCAUGGGUACUACCCCUCUUUCUCCUUGCUUCUUUCCAGGUUUAAAUUUUCAAGCUAGACUCUUGGAUAAGAGUAGUCUUAAUCAUCCUUCAAAUUCAAAUUCAGCCAUCUAAAUACUACUCUACAGUACCCUGAAAGAAGAAUGAGUAUGAAAAAGGAUUGUUGAGAGGGACUCAUUGGAGACACAUGAGGAUGAUGUUCUAGUCAAAGGAUUGUUGAGAGGGAUUCAUUGGAGACACAUAAAGAUGAUGUUCUAGUUAUCAAUCAGACAUCAUCUUCUGAAGUAGUUGAAAUACAUUAUAAAAUAGUUGAGAACACACUUUAGGUUGUAAUAUCUUAAUUAUGAUUUUGGUGAAUAUUAUGAU